rnacentral:tRNA from 1 species
UCGGGGAUCGUCUAAUGGAAGGACAGGAGCCUUUGAAGCUCCCAGGUCGUGGUUCGAGCCCACGUCCCCGAG